GCGAUGGAAAAAUUAGUGGAGGGGAGAAACGGCCCUGACAAGGAAUUUCAGUUCUGACUUGAGAGGAUAUUUACCCAAGAAGAAACUGCUUUAAAGGGGAAGACACUGAGUUAUUUCACUAGGCAAGUGUUACAUUUUGAAUGGAAUAGGUUAGAAGGUGAUCCCAGAAAGCACAGGAGAAGGCAUGGGGAAAUUGAGAGAGAAAAAGAAGAAAAGCCAGUGAAGACAGCAUGAUUGAGUGAAUUACCAGUGUGGAUGAUUGGGGCUCAAUUUCUCUGGGGAUCUUUUGAGAAACCAUAGAGAAUAUACUUCAGUAUCCUCUCACCAAGGGAAGAGGAAACUGGAUUAUUUAUCCAUGAUCUCUCAUCCCUUAUUGGUUUAGGGUUACCUGUCAUCUUCGGCUACCUUGCAUGCAAGUCGAACAAGCUCUUGUGGAACUGGAGAAAGCCCUCGGAGAAACAGAAAGAAUCGACACUUGGGAGCUCCACCCUCAUGUCCUAAUCACCUCCUGAAGGCCUCACCUCCAAACAGCACCAUAUGGGGGAUUAGGUCUCAACAUAUGGAUUCUGAAGAGACAUAAAUAUUCAGUCCAUAGCAUGCCACCCCUGGCUCCCCCAAAUCCAUGUCCAUCUCGUAUAUAGAAUAUAUUCAUUCCAUCCCAAUAGCCCCCAGAGAAAAUAUCCAAUAAAGUGUUGAAUAUUUGA